UCCGGCGGGGGAAGGAGGAGCGUCCCCCUCUCGGAGGACCGUCUCCCGGUCGUCAUCAUCCCCACCCGGCUGAGACGGGAGCUUCCUCGGGUCAAUCUUUUCCGCUCGCGUUGAGGUCCAGAGCGCGCUUGCAGCGGAUGUUCUCUUCCUGCCCCUUUCAGCAAGCCCUUUGACAGCCUUGGAGGGAGAGGAAGUCUCCCAUUUCCUGAGGCAGCCCCUUUCACUUGUGGGGGCCUCUUUGCUGCUUUCCACCCACAACCAGAAAGACGGUCUAAUCUCGUUAACUCAUGGGCACUGGUGAAUUUCCCAUUGAAUUUGAUCAAGAUUUUCUGCCAGCUUCUUGUGGAGCUCCAAUCUGCCUUGGCUCAGGAGCCAAUCUACCCCCACUCUGCUUACUGCCCGAGCCACCGACGUCCCCUGGGAAGCCGCCAGUGCCCCAAUCUUCUGGGCCUCCGCAGUUGAGUGGAGCUCUCUUCUUCCAAGGAGGAAGACUGAAGUUGGGUUUCGUUCCUUCUUCCUACCCAAAUGAUUCCUUCUGAGAGGCUUGGCUGGCCAUGACUAACUCGGAGCUGCUCUACAUGGUUCAUCCAUUAAUCCGAAUACUGACCUCAUGGCAGAGAAAUGGAGCCCUUAAAGAAUCCCA